UUGCCCUACAAAUUCUCCUUCACUCUUACUUCCUAAUUACAACUUGCUACUUCCGACCUUUUUACACCUCCUUCCACCCUCCGAGCCCUUCUUUUCGACCGACCCCUAGAAGAAGAAGAAGAAGAAGAAGAUCUCAGAAAUGACUCGGCGCAGGACGGCUUUGCCUGAGAGAAGCCACGACGAAGUUGCCUUGGUUUUAGACUGGCAUCCAGCUGAUUGGGACCCACGAAAUAAGGACGGCACUCGCUAUUACAUUAUGUGAAAUCUAUACAACUUCAAAACACCAACAUGAGCAGAAGAAGAGCUUCUCCUUCUCCUCAAGGCCGGAGGUGGUAGGAUAUUUGCCAUGCAGGUAAACAUCGUGCGGCAUCCCAUCAACUCCAACUGGCCAAAGAAAUUGAUGGAAAAGGACUAACUGACCACAACUUGAAAUCACCAUUGGCGGUGUUUUUCAGAAGCAUUUCCUACGUGAUGUGAAAUUUGCCGUAAUUCUUCUUUAACCGAAGGUCUUCAUGUCUGACCAUUAAUCCCGCAUCAUGUGCUGGUGAUGGUGAUCUCGGUAUGACUUCAGAUCCUCGCCUUUAAAAGCAUCCACAUCCUCAUUCUUUAACCACCCAUUCUUUGAAUCGGAAACACUCACUCACACUGUGAAAAAAUUUUGAUCUUCCUGUUUUUUCCUUUUCCCUGGCAAAACCGUUGUUGGUGCUUCCUGUAUUUUUCUGACUUUGCCCAUGUUUGGUUUCUUUCCAUAAUUUCGUAGGAAAAUAGUUUCUUUUUUUUCUUUUUUGGAUCAACAGUGCGGGGACCCACAUUGAAGGAGGGAAAUUUCCACUUUCGCUCUCGGCCAGUAUCCGGUCGGUGGGGGCGUCUGCAAGAUACCAUUCUUCCAAGCCUCAAACAUUUUAUCUCUUUUUUUUUUUUUUUGGGUUUUCUCUUUAAUCAUGGAGAAGCUGAACUCGGUGAAGCCGCUUUCCCAUCAGGCCAAAAAAAUUAAGAUGCAGAGCGCAGACAUUUUUCAAAUCUAAAAAGCCCUUAACGUGGUGAGGAGAGUUCUUUUUUGAGAUACCCGUUCUGCCAUUGUCCUACCAUGCUCAGAAAUCCUUGACUUGAUAUUGCAACUGUCGACCGCUGGAUCGCGGGAAUGUAAGGUCACAAAUGAGAUCCACAGGUCGAAAGCUCAGUUCUCCUAGGUUCAAUGUAAGGUUGGCAAUCCAAAGUGGGGUUCAGAUGUCGGCCAGCUGAAUGUCAAUGAACCUAGUCCUUUUGAAGAACAGAUACCACUCGUAAUCUGAAAAGAUUCAGCAAAUAAAAUGUUUCCAUCGGUUUUUUUUUUUUUUUUUUUUUUUUUUUCUUUU